UGUUGUGAUCAUAAGUAGGUUUUAUUCGACUUUGUUCUAUAUUCAAGUCGCGUGAAUCCUACUUUUGAUGACUGCGA
rfam:Bombyx mori DNA, contig: Bm_scaf98_contig35688, strain: p50T/Dazao, build 2, whole genome shotgun sequence.